UACAGAGGGUGCGAGCGUUAAUCGGAGUAACUGGGCGUAAAGGGCGCGUAGGCGGCCGUACCAGUCUGGGGUGAAAGCCCUCGGCUCAACCGAGGAAUUGCCUUGGAAACUGUACGGCUUGAGUAUUGGAGAGGAAAGCGGAAUUCCCAGUGUAGCGGUGAAAUGCGCAGAUAUCAGGAGGAACACCAAUUGCGAAGGCAGCUCGCUGGGACGUUACUGACGCUGAGACGCGAAAGCGUGGGGAGCAAACAGG
rnacentral:rRNA from 1 species